UGGUUUGGCUCUGGUUCAUGGAACUCUCUGAUUACCAUUACAAAAAUAUUGAUGGAAUUUCCUCUCUCAGCGUUGUUUCUCAAGAUUAAUGCAGAUUGGGACUGGUUUAUCACAUUAAGUGCUGCUGAUUAUCCACUCAUGACUCAGGAUGGUAUUGAUUAUAUUCUUUAGGUUGUGGAUCGAAUUGUCAAGGAGCAUUGCAAAGUUAAUUUGCAAGAGAUGCUUUAUCACUGGCAUGACCAGGAAGUGAAUGGUGGUUGUAUAUCUCUUCUAAUUGUGUAUUACUUUGUAGGUAAGUAAUGCUAAUUAACCCUUCCAAAUUCAGUUAAUGAGUUGACCUUUAUUCAAUUGAUGGUUUUACAUAAACACAAAGUAAUUUUGGCCAAUAUAUUCUUCGACUGAGAAGAUUCUAUGCUAUCAUUCUUCUCUCUACAUUAGAAUAUAUUUAUCUCAUGUGGUAAUGGUUG